GUGAUGGAUUAUGUUGAUACAUUUUAGAUUAAAAAUAAUUUUUCUGGCCAGGUGCAGUGGCUUAUUCCUGUAAUCCCAGCACUUUGGGAGGCCAGGGUGGGCCUUGAGCUCGGGAGUUUGAGAGCAGCCUGGGCAACAUGGCUAAACUCUAUCUCUACAAAAAAUACAAAAAUUAGCUUGGCAUGCUGGCACAUGCCUGUAAACCUGGUUAACUCAGGUGGUUGAGACGAGAGGGUGAGGGGGAGAUAGCAAAAAAAAAAAAAAAAAGAAUUUGUUUUUCCAAAUUGCCCUUUGCAUUUUAAAAAUAAACCUUCUUUGGAUAGCUUACUGUUCUUUCAAAAAUUACCGAAUUUGUUUUUUUCAUAUUUUAUUUAGAUCUUUUUUUGUUUCAGUUGCAAGAUUUAAUAGAGCGAAAACAGAGCUCCCAUAAAAUGGGAGGGGACCCAAACGGGGUUGUCGCUCCCUGCUCAAAUGCCUGGGGUUUAUAUACCGAUCAUUGCCCCUCCCCCUGUGCUCUUCAGGCGAUAUAUGAUUUGACUAUUUCUUUACCCCCUGCUUUAGCCUAAUUUGUAUUUUAGUGAGCCCUAUUUACUACCUGAUUGGUCAGGUGUGAGCUUAGUUACAAGCCCUGUGUUUAAAGGUGAGUGCAGUCACCUUUCCCAGCUAGGCUUAGGAAUUCUUAGUUGGCCUAGGAAAUCCAGCUAGUCCUGUCUGUCAGUCCCCGCUCUCAACAGGAAAACCCAAGUGCUGUUGGGGAGGUUGGCUGACGACUGCUUUUAACUACUUCCUGCUGAAUUGGGGUAUAGUAGGGGUCGUGCAGUCGAGAUUUCCUCGGGAGGGGUGCCUUCGAUGUCAUUAACAUCGGAGCAUGGGCUAGCAGGCCGGUCCAGGGGUCUGCGGUAGAUCUUAGCCAUGGACUGCAUCUGGGGCCCCAUUUGAAGAACGAUUUGUAGUUUUAUAGCUUUGAUUCUAGAAGAGACAAACUUAACAAGGAGGUUAAAGAUACAGGAAUUGAAAUGUAUGACCUGAAGUGCAGGUGCAUAUGGGUGUGGGUGGUGAAAGUGGGGUUUCCUUUAGAAAAACUACAAUGGGGCGUCAAUAUUUCUGGGAAGCCGCAUUCUCCAUAGAAGCUCUUGGUAAAGGGAGCUACUGGUAGUACAGCGGCAAGGAGGAGGUGCAGUGAGAGUGAAAGGUUUGGUGAAGGGUUUUAAGUAACUACCAUUGGUUGGCUGCAGGCAAAAGUAUUUUUCCUUCUUUGGUGGCUAGCCAUCCUGAGGGGAGGAAACUACGUCCUCGUGAGGUUCCCCAUUCUAUUUCUUCUUCUGAGUACUGGGGCUUGGUUUCCCGGAGGGGAUUACCCCAUGCUAGGGUCCUUCUAUAAGCAUUUCUAAUGGAGGGUCCUGCCUUGCGGCUCUUUUGGCUUCAAUGUCCUCUUGGUGCUUCCCUUCUACUUCCCUUUCCUUUUCUUUCUGAUGACCCCGGCAGUUUAAGACUGCCACCUCUUUAGGUUUCUGUACAGCCAAGAAUAAUCUCCUAAUGGCUUCCUGAUGUUUGAUAGGUGUUCCUUGGAAGUUAGGAAUUCCCUUUCUCUCCAUAUUGCUGCAUGGUCAUGGAGGACUAGGUAAGCAUAUUAGAGUCUGUAUAUAUAUUUACCCUUUUUCCUUCUAGUUCUAGUGCCUGAAUGAGGUCUGUUAGUUCUGCCAGCUGAGCGCUAGUUACAUCAAUUUCCUUACUCAGGUAUGCCACAGGUUGCAAGCUGGUCCCUCGGACCUGUGUAAGGACUCCUAGAGCUAUUCCUGUUUUUUUCUGUUACAUGUAAAGAAAAGUCUUGGCCUGUUGGCAAGCUUAACACUGGGGCUUGGGUUAGGGCCUUCUUUAGGGCUAGGGCAUAAAUCACACUUUUUACAUAAUUGUGAGUUGUUUCUUAAUGAAAAGAAAGUUUGUACAUAUGGCACUUCACUCCAUUUGCCUCUUUUUUUAUACAAAAGAGGUCUAGCUGUAAGAUGUUAU
rnacentral:lncRNA from 1 species